rnacentral:rRNA from 1 species
AAAGGAAUUGACGGGGACCCGCACAAGCGGUGGAGGAUGUUCUUUAAUUCGAUGCUAAGCGAAGAACCUUACCAGGGCUUGACAUCCCUUGAAUUUCUCCGAAAGGAGAGAGUGCUUUAUUGAACAAGGUGACAGAUUCUGCAUGGCCGUCGUCAGCUCGUGUCGUGAGAUGUUUGGUUAAGUCCAUCAACGAGCGCAACCCUUAUUGUCAGUUGUAUUUUUCUGGCAAGACUGCCCCGGUAACGGGGAGGAAGGAGGGGAUGAUGUCAGGUCAGUAUUGAUCUUACGUCCUGGGCUAGAAACGUCCUACAAUGGCCGGUACAACGGGCAGCGAAGUCGCGAGACGGAGCAAAUCCCAUCAAAGCCGGUCCCAGUUCGGAUUGCAGGCUGAAACUCGCCUGCAUGAAGUCGGAAUCGCUAGUAAUCGCAGAUCAGCACGCUGCGGUGAAUACGUUCCCGGGUCUUGUACACACCGCCCGU